rnacentral:rRNA from 1 species
GCCUUACACAUGCAAGUCGAACGGCAGCACGGACUUCGGUCUGGUGGCGAGUGGCGAACGGGUGAGUAAUGUAUCGGAACGUGCCUAGUAGCGGGGGAUAACUACGCGAAAGCGUAGCUAAUACCGCAUACGCCCUACGGGGGAAAGCAGGGGAUCGCAAGACCUUGCACUAUUAGAGCGGCCGAUAUCGGAUUAGCUAGUUGGUGGGGUAACGGCUCACCAAGGCGACGAUCCGUAGCUGGUUUGAGAGGACGACCAGCCACACUGGGACUGAGACACGGCCCAGACUCCUACGGGAGGCAGCAGUGGGGAAUUUUGGACAAUGGGGGAAACCCUGAUCCAGCCAUCCCGCGUGUGCGAUGAAGGCCUUCGGGUUGUAAAGCACUUUUGGCAGGAAAGAAACGUCAUGGGCUAAUACCCCGUGAAACUGACGGUACCUGCAGAAUAAGCACCGGCUAACUACGUGCCAGCAGCCGCGGUAAUACGUAGGGUGCAAGCGUUAAUCGGAAUUACUGGGCGUAAAGCGUGCGCAGGCGGUUCGGAAAGAAAGAUGUGAAAUCCCAGAGCUUAACUUUGGAACUGCAUUUUUAACUACCGGGCUAGAGUGUGUCAGAGGGAGGUGGAAUUCCGCGUGUAGCAGUGAAAUGCGUAGAUAUGCGGAGGAACACCGAUGGC